rnacentral:rRNA from 1 species
CAGCCGCCACGGUAAUACGUAGGGUGCGAGCGUUAAUCGGAAUUACUGGGCGUGAAGCGUGCGCAGGCGGUUGUGUAAGACAGGUGUGAAAUCCCCGGGCUUAACCUGGGAACUGCGCUUGUGACUGCACAGCUAGAGUAUGGCAGAGGGGGGUGGAAUUCCACGUGUAGCAGUGAAAUGCGUAGAGAUGUGGAGGAACACCGAUGGCGAAGGCAGCCCCCUGGGCCAAUACUGACGCUCAUGCACGAAAGCGUGGGGAGCAAACAGGAUUAGAUACCCCCGUAGUCCCUGUCUCUUAUAC